UAAAAAUGUAAAUUUAAAUAUUAAAUGAUUAAUAGCUAUGUUCUUUAAAGUUAAAUAAUAUGGCGGUAUUUUAGUCUUUUCAGAGGAACCUGCCCUAUAAUUGAUAAUCCACGAUAAAAAAUACUUUUAUUAGAAAUUUAUAUAUCGUCGUUAAAAAUAUUUUUUUUGAAAUUAAAUAUUUAAGAUUUAAAAUUAAAAAAUAAAUCAGAUCAAGGUGUAGUUUAUAUAAAAGAAGAGGUGGGUUACAUUAAAAUUAUUUUUGGAUAUAAAAUUGAAAGUUUUAUUUAAAUUGGAUUUGAAAGUAAUUAAUUUUUAUUUAGAUUAAUGAUUAAGCUCUAAAAUAUGU
rnacentral:rRNA from 1 species